rnacentral:rRNA from 2 species
GUCAGCUCGUGUCGUGAGAUGUUGGGUUAAGUCCCGCAACGAGCGCAACCCUUGACUUUAGUUGCCAGCAUUCAGUUGGGCACUCUAGAGUGACUGCCGGUGACAAACCGGAGGAAGGUGGGGAUGACGUCAAAUCAUCAUGCCCCUUAUGACCUGGGCUACACACGUACUACAAUGGCCGGUACAACGGGAAGCGAAGCCGCGAGGUGGAGCGAAUCUUUAGAAGCCGGUCUCAGUUCGGAUUGCAGGCUGCAACUCGCCUGCAUGAAGUCGGAAUUGCUAGUAAUCGCGGAUCAGCAUGCCGCGGU